rnacentral:rRNA from 1 species
GAUGAACGCUGGCGGCGUGCUUAACACAUGCAAGUCGAACGGUGAAGGCGGAGCUUGCUCUGCUGGAUCAGUGGCGAACGGGUGAGUAACACGUGAGCAAUCUGCCCCUGACUCUGGGAUAAGCGCUGGAAACGGCGUCUAAUACUGGAUACGAGCUGCGAAGGCAUCUUCAGCAGCUGGAAAGAACUUCGGUCAGGGAUGAGCUCGCGGCCUAUCAGCUUGUUGGUGAGGUAACGGCUCACCAAGGCGUCGACGGGUAGCCGGCCUGAGAGGGUGACCGGCCACACUGGGACUGAGACACGGCCCAGACUCCUACGGGAGGCAGCAGUGGGGAAUAUUGCACAAUGGGCGAAAGCCUGAUGCAGCAACGCCGCGUGAGGGAUGACGGCCUUCGGGUUGUAAACCUCUUUUAGCAGGGAAGAAGCGAAAGUGACGGUACCUGCAGAAAAAGCGCCGGCUAACUACGUG